AUGUUUGUUGUCCCUGUUUUCUCAGGCAUUGUCAACCUCUCAUCUGAACAGGAUUCUGCUUAUCAACAUUUAAACAUGCUUGAAUCUCACUUACCUUAAAAAACAACAAAAGCCCCUUUCUUUGACUCCAUGUCUUACUGCAGCUACUGCCCCACCCUCCUCUCAACCAUGGUCAAACAUCUCCAGAGCACUGUCUCUUUCCUCACACCUCACAUGCCUCCUGUCCAUGACAGCCUGGCCUCUACCUGCCUCACUUCACCGAAACAGCACUCCCUAAAAUCACUGGUGAGGUGACCUUCAGGACACUAAAUCCAAAGUGCAUUUUUCAUUCUACUCUUCUUUUAGAUUUUCCAGCAGCAUCCAAACAUUCUCUUGCUUCUGGAAACACUCUUCUCCAUUCAUUGCAAGGCACAACAAUGCUCUUUCUCUGUUCACCCUCUAUUCCAGGUUUAUCCUCCUUUACCUGGCCAUUGAAUAUUAGUGUCCUUAAGACACAGGCUGGGCUCUUUUCUUACUUAAU
rnacentral:lncRNA from 1 species